CCCACUCCCCGCAGGGAAGGUCUGGGAUAAACGGCUCCAAGUUGACCUAGG
rnacentral:ribozyme from 11 species